UGAUGAUGAUGAGGGAAAUUCCUAAGCAUACCUUUGAAUCUUUCCAAAGUUUGGUUAAGAUUCUCUUUAUCUUUUUGCCUGAAACUCAGAAUCUCACUUCUCAAACG
rfam:Capsicum annuum cultivar Zunla-1 chromosome 10, whole genome shotgun sequence